rnacentral:snoRNA from 1 species
GCCCCGGGCAACCGUGGGGGACUAGCGAGAGGCGAGCGAUGAAUCCCCUCCGCUCCCCCGGGGCACA